UCCUUAUUAAGAGCGGCUGAGGGGACAGGCCCAUUGAAGCCCGGCAACCUGUGUUAUACAAGGUGCUAAUUCCUGCGGUUUUUAACCGAAAGAUAAGGU
rfam:Clostridium sp. CAG:413 genomic scaffold, scf49